GAUGAACGCUGGCGGCGUGCCUAAUACAUGCAAGUCGAGCGAACAGACGAGGAGCUUGCUCCUCUGACGUUAGCGGCGGACGGGUGAGUAACACGUGGAUAACCUACCUAUAAGACUGGGAUAACUUCGGGAAACCGGAGCUAAUACCGGAUAAUAUAUUGAACCGCAUGGUUCAAUAGUGAAAGACGGUUUUGCUGUCACUUAUAGAUGGAUCCGCGCCGCAUUAGCUAGUUGGUAAGGUAACGGCUUACCAAGGCAACGAUGCGUAGCCGACCUGAGAGGGUGAGCGGCCACACUGGAACUGAGACACGGUCCAGACUCCUACGGGAGGCAGCAGUAGGGAAUCUUUCGCAAUGGGCGAAAGCCUGAAGGAGCAACGCCGCGUGAGUGAUGAAGGUCUUCGGAUCGUAAAACUCUGUUAUUAGGGAAGAACAAAUGUGUAAGUAACUAUGCACGUCUUGACGGUACCUAAUCAGAAAGCCACGGCUAACUACGUG
rnacentral:rRNA from 1 species